UGCGCAGGUGGAAUAAUUAGUCGGGGGUGAAAGCCUACAGCUUAACUGUAGAAUUGCCUUCGAUACUGUUAUUCUUGAGUCCCGGAGAGGUUAUCGGAAUUCGUGGUGUAGCGGUGAAAUGCGUAGAUAUCACGAGGAACACCAGAAGCGUAGGCGGAUAACUGGACGGGUACUGACACUGAGGCACGAAAGCGUGGGGAGCGAACAGGAUUAGAUACCCUGGUAGUCC
rnacentral:rRNA from 1 species